CCCGCUCCUCUCCAGCUCUCUCUUUAGGGACAGAGAGGAAUCUACUUACCAAGAUGGCAGGAGCAAGUGGUUAUCAGAGCCUGCUCUCUAGAAAUACAAUUAAACAAGCAGCCCCUGUCUCUUUUUCUCCACUUUCAGUCUUGGGGAAGGGAUUGGAAUAUGUGAGCAGGAGAGAAGGGUCAUGUUGGAGCAGCCAGGACUCAGAGCCUUUCCGCAGACUGAGUCUGGAUCCUUUCCUUCAGCCUCCAGGAAUACUCCCGGCUCCACACCCAGAAUGGUAAUCCAGGCAAGGGCUCUGGUGUGUGGCCACACUGCCACCUAUUACCUGCGGGUCCAAAUGCAGUGACUCAACUUCUCUGUGCCUCUCUUUCCACAUGUAUAAAAUGAGGAUAAUGUUGCUAUUGUAAGAAUUGCAUCAAUUAAUA
rnacentral:lncRNA from 10 species